rnacentral:rRNA from 1 species
UAAGACGAACCGUGCGAACGUUAUUCGGAAUCACUGGGCUUAAAGGGUGCGUAGGCGGGCCACCAAGUCAGGGGUGAAAUCCCACGGCUCAACCGUGGAAGUGCCUCUGAUACUUGUGGCCUCGAGGGGUGCAGGGGCGUGCGGAACUCAGGGUGGAGCGGUGAAAUGCGUAGAUAUCCUGAGGAACACCGGUGGCGAAAGCGGCGCGCUAGACACCUUCUGACGCUGAGGCACGAAAGCCAGGGGAGCAAACGGGAUUAGAUACCCCGGUAGUCCUGGCCCUAAACGUUGGGUACUGGGUAGCGGCCCCCCACGGGGUCGCUGCCGCAGCGAAAGUGUUAAGUACCCCGCCUGGGGAGUAUGGUCGCAAGGCUG